GCCUGGGUGGCUCAGUCUGUUGGGCAUCUGACUUCAGCUCAGGUCAUGAUCUCAUGGUCUGUGGGUUCGAGCCCCGUGUCGGGCU
rnacentral:tRNA from 1 species